UAAGAAAAUAUUGUUGACUAUAUAGUUCAGUGUUUGUUGAUUUACUCAUUUUACACAACUGUAGUAAUGCUUCAUGCUACAUCUAAACACAUGGUUUGAACACUGCAGCUUAUUUCGUUUUCAAGUCUUUCUCUCUUGUUUUCUUGGUAUCCCUUCUCUGUCCCUCAGGGGUAAAUACUAAAUUCAUAGUGACCAUUGGUUUUAAAGAAGAGACAUGAUCAAAUAUUGGUGGUGCAACUGAGAAACAAAUUGGUAGUUUGGUGUGGCAGGAAAGUCUGUAUUUAUUAAAACAAUUCAGCAUCUGAACGCUCCUUGCCUACUGUUUGUUUCUUCUAAUGUAUUUGGCUUCAUGAUAUCACACACUGUCCACACUCACUAAUUUACAGUUCCUCUCAGUUUUCCCACCCACUAAAUAAUCAUCUUUUUAAAAAACUUUUCUUUUCUUUUAUCGAGUUUUCCCCAUGAAAACCUUCGUAACCUUAAUUUACAAAAUUUUCACCAAUAUCAUCAUUUUUGUCUUAUAAUAUCCACUUAUCUAUCAAAAUUUUCAAAUUGUAAUUAUUAGAAUCUCACCAUAGAUUGACAUGUUAAUUCUAUUCAGAUGCAGCACACCACACAAUACACAAACCACAUCUAGAAGCUCAUUCAUAAAUAUCAAUGAUCUUAUGCCAGAUAAUGCUACAUAUUAGGUAUUAACUAUUGCAAAUGUAAAAUGCUGUGUUUUAAAAAGGAUUUACGACCAAAUUUCUACUUACCGAAUAUGGAUAAAAAGGUGCAAAUGUUGAGAGAGUGGAAGAGAGGAUUUUAAUGAAGAGAGCAUUGACACAAAGCUUUUUAAA